AGAUGCGAUGUCUUCUCGCUGCAUAUUCAAGUGUGCUCUCAAGUUUCACAAGAAAGUUCUCCUAACAUCUCGUCUGUUUGGCUUUGUCACAUUUGCGUGGAGGGAAAGGAAGCAGCCUUCACUAUUAACACACCAAAAAGUCCCUCGUCUUCUCUUCUGCGCUCCAGCCGACUCUUUUAUCUGUGCCAUUUGAGCUUGUGAACUUCACAACAUACAGUAUUCAUACCAAGGUAUGUGCUCCAUUGGGCUGCCAUUGAAACAGAACAAAGGGGCAUCAGAAUUCUCAGACAGAGUCCGUCCGAGGUUGGGGGCAGGGGCUGGAACCAAAGUGCUGCGCGUCGCCAUGGAAACAGCGCCUGAGUGAUAAGCUGCACUGCACUUGGAGUGUGAAAACGCUUCACAGCCAUAUUUCUGUUUAUGGAAACGCUACGGAACCAGCUAGCAGCCACCGAUCAAGCUGUGAACAGCUCUCCCACUGAACAGAUCUCAUUGUGCCAUAUCUCAAGCUGUCUCGCACGCUCACACAUUUAGCCGAGCAAGAAUGAGACGAAGGAAAGAAAUACCAGCAACUUGAUAGAAAAACGUCUGAGAAAGAAAGUUGUGGCUUUCCUUUCAGUCAGUCAGCGAUGAGGCGUUUGAACAAGUUACAAGCUAAAAGCGCAUAGAAAGGAGGCGUCAUUAUCCUGUUCGUGUUGGAGAAAACUCCCUAAAACACUGCGUAUCAUUAUGUGGCUUAGUUAUAAUGUCCUUUGUGGUUGCUCAUUGUAAUAUAUUUUAGAACAGUGACUUGAUCUAGUCAAGUUAUCCCAUUAAUCUCUACUCCACAAGAAAGAAUCCUACAGCUCUUUUUUUCUUUCAUCAAAGAGAUUCUUCAUAGCCCAGAAUUUCUUCAAAGUAAAAGCCUCUUUUCAGUGUAACAGAUCAAAUUAGAGCAAGGACUGUCAUUAAUGUAGAGGAAGUCAUGUUGCCCGGAAUAAUAACAUGUUAAUGGGGAAACACUUCAGUUGGCUAAAGGACAUUAGGCGUACUAAAGAGACAGAAAGGAAGCCAUCACAGCGAGGCUAGAGUAGUUACAUCCCUCUUCUGAAUGAGGCACCAGCAGUGCAUUGAUGUGAUAAUGAUUUUCACAGUCUGCUAUUUACCUGCUGUUUACUUAGAAACAGCAUUGUAAAAUUGUUACCUAAUAUCUUACUUAAUAACUGCAGUUUAGUAUCUUUGAGAUUCAGUGGGAAAAAAGCACCUUUAGUACCAGAAUCGUAAGGUGUGAGUUGAUCACAACACAUCAACACACCAAUUAAAUUAUACAUUUUUA